rnacentral:rRNA from 1 species
AUUGAACGCUGGCGGCAGGCCUAACACAUGCAAGUCGAGCGGAUGAAGGGAGCUUGCUCCUGGAUUCAGCGGCGGACGGGUGAGUAAUGCCUAGGAAUCUGCCUGGUAGUGGGGGAUAACGUCCGGAAACGGGCGCUAAUACCGCAUACGUCCUGAGGGAGAAAGUGGGGGAUCUUCGGACCUCACGCUAUCAGAUGAGCCUAGGUCGGAUAAGCUAGUUGGUGGGGUAAAGGCCUACCAAGGCGACGAUCCGUAACUGGUCUGAGAGGAUGAUCAGUCACACUGGAACUGAGACACGGUCCAGACUCCUACGGGAGGCAGCAGUGGGGAAUAUUGGACAAUGGGCGAAAGCCUGAUCCAGCCAUGCCGCGUGUGUGAAGAAGGUCUUCGGAUUGUAAAGCACUUUAAGUUGGGAGGAAGGGCAGUAAGUUAAUACCUUGCUGUUUUGACGUUACCAACAGAAUAAGCACCGGCUAACUUCGUG